UUUGGCUCGUAGUGCAAAGAUGAACAGGUGUUGAGAUGAACAUGACCAACUGGUGAUACAAAUGAAUAUCUUUGGCCUGUAGUGCAAAGAUGAAUAUUUGAUUCAAGAUGUAUAUUGAUUGAUGUUACAAGGAUAAAAUAUUGAUGCUAGACUUUUAAAUCUUAGAAGAUAGUAGAAUUCAUUCUCUAGUUAACUCUUCAAAUGGAUUGCUGUUUCCGCUG
rnacentral:lncRNA from 1 species